GCCCGAGGUUGGAGAUGUUGGGGAAAGUAGUUCCAACCAUCCCUUGCCGGGGAGGCAGCCAGGGACACGCAAGAAGGGUGGCCUGUGGCCCCAGCUCAAACCCAGAAGAUCACAGGUGGCACAGGGAAGCCAAGUGACCAGAUAGGCUGAUAUUGUCCAGAGUACCUGCAGUUUCUAAAUGUUACGUUUGCUUGUUAAGUCUCCCUUGAUAUGCUUUUUAAGGGGGUCUCAUCCUCCUGGAAAAUGUUCCUAUAUUUUUUCAUGUCUAGAUGCAAGCAAAAUUUUGUAAUAACUUUAAAUGGCAUAUACUCUAGAUUUUUUUUUUUUCUCUUUAGGGCCGAACGUGCAGCACAUGGAAGUUCCAGAAUAGGGAUCAAAUCAGACCUGCAGCUGAUGGCCUAUGCCACAGCCAGAUCCUUAACCCUCUGGGUGAGGCCAGGGAUUGAACCCGCAUCCUCAUGGAUACUAGUUUGGUUCGUUACUGCUGAGCCACAAUAGGAACUCCAUAGAAAAAUACUGAAUCACUAUGCUAUACACCUGAAACUAAUAUAAUACUGUAAAUCAGCUAUACUUCAGUUAAAAAACAAAAACAAAAACUCGCCAAGCUGUUUCCAAAGCGUUUCUGCCAUUUUAACCCCCACCAGCAGGAAGAAGAGGCCUUGAUGAAAAUUGUGGGGACAAAACAUUAGUGCUGGAAAAGACCUUGGUGACGCUCAUCCAAACUCCUGAUCCCCUGAAGCCCUGGAAGUGACUCAGGGAAUCUAUUGAGCUGGUCGAUUUGCAAAUUAUGUGCCUAAGACUUGGCCAUACAUAACCCCGAGGUAAGAACAAAUCCACCAUCCGGGAAAAUCUUGACAUAUCUGGGGCUACCCAACAGGACACACUACCCUAAAGGGGUGCCCUGAAGAUCCCCCCCCCAAAAAAAACUCUGAACAGCAGGUACAGCAUUUUCAUAAGAGGAUGGUGUUCCGAGCUGACCUUGGAAGGCAGCCCCCAUGUUGUCCACCUGCUCUGUACCUUUCCAUUCCUGCCUCUUCAUAACUUGCCUGGUCAUGACCCCAGCUCUACCUCCUGGCUCCUUGUAUCCUUUCAAGAAACAUGUGGAGCUCUUGCUGUUCUGGGAGUCUUUCUCUGCUUCUUUUCAGAUAUUAAUGUCGCUGCUGAUCUGACUUGGUUUCACAGUUCAGAUUUUGGACAAGCACCUCCCGUGUUUUUUGAGGUAGACCUCAGGACUACAGAGACAUUGGCUUGUCUGUGGAUUGGUCGUCGACUAGUGAUCCAAGGUGUUAUGGCCGUGGAGAGGGGCUGUGUUCCUUUAAAUGUGGUUGCUUGAGGUGCUGUGGGUGGGGAAGGCUCUGGAACGGAUAACUCCAGCACUGUUGUAUGAGGGGAGAGGAGGACCGUAUAUCCAAUGCUUCCCCCCAAUUUACAAAGCAUCCAACCUCUUUGCAAAGAAGCUAUAUAAUCACUUCUGGGCAGAGGGACCAAUCAAAGCCUGGAUGUAUUCAUUGCUGAGGGAUUAAAAAUCUAAUUUUUCAUUCUCUUGGCUAGCGUUAGUUGCUUCUAUUUAUUUCCUACACAUUGUUCAGAUUUUAACUCAAUCCUUUCUUCUCAUAAAACACAAGUUCUUAAAGUAACGAGGCAUCGACCUUCCACUCUCGGGUACCAACUAUGUAUGCGGCGCUGUGCUCUGCCCUGAUGGAUGACAAAGGAUGUUUUGCCACGUGACCUCAAAGGACAAACAUUGAAUGGUCUUUUUCUACAGACGCUGCAUCCUUCUUAAUAAAGAUGUGAUUUCAGCAGGUAUAUGAUUGUUGGUUUCUACAAAACAUCAGACCGACCUGCAUACUUUUAAGAAGUUGCAAGGGAAACAUAAUCAGCCAUCACACAUACCACCGUGAUUCAUUUCCCACAUUUGAGGUCUUCUUAUUCCACUGUCUCCCGAGUGUGAACAGCCAAGGAUGAAGAAGCAGAGAGAAUUAUUUUUGUGGGGCUGCGCAUGGCUAAACCCAUGGGGGUUUACAUCCCCAGAUCCAUUCCAUCUCCGGUGAGGCGUUUAAUCCAAUCACGCCAGUUCCAUUCAUCGUGCCCAGUUGACCAGGAAGGGGUCUGAGACUUGAUUCCGGCCAGUGAGACUUGAAGAAAAGCCUGCAGAAUCCCGCGGCAGAGAGAGUGUGUCCUCCCUGUUUCUGGAAGUGGCCCCGUGUGUGUUUGGUGGGCGGUCUCCUAACAAAGUACCAGACCAUGUGGCUUAACCGAUGAAAAUGCAUUGUCUCACAAUUCUGGGGCCCAAGAUCAAGUUGCUGGUAGACUUGGUUUCUUCUGAGCUCUCUCUCCUGGGCUGGUGGAUGGUGAUCUUCGCUCUGUGUCUGGAUGUCGUCGUUUUGCUGUGGGUCAAUGUGUUCCUAUCUCCUCGUCUUAUAAGGAUGCUAAUUGGACCCGGACCCACUCUAAUGACCUCCUUCUGCCUUAUUUAUCUCUUUAAAGACCCAAUCUCCAGAUACAGCUAUAUGCGGAAGCAUAAGAAUCUGGAGGACACAGUUCCGCCCACACCCUGCAUCUGGCACGAUGCCUGGAAUGCCUGUGGCCGCCGUGCUGCGGACCCAGGAUGAGUUCAGCCCAGCCCCCCCAUGUGAGCCUGAGAGCCUGCGGCCCCAGCUGCCGACACUGCUCACCCUGAAAGUCGUGAAAUGACAAGUGCCCUUAUUGUUAAUCCCGGUGGAAUUGGGAUUUUCAAAAGCAUCCUAAUGGAGGGACAUAAAACCUGAAAAGUGAAGAUUGGGCCGACGGCAGCGGGGUUUGCAGGGCUCCUCUGAAGGGACAAGAGGAGCCGAGUUUGCUUCUUUCUCUUUUGGAGGCUUGAUGCCCUGUCCCAGCUUGUGAGCAUGCGCACACACGGCUGAUGGUCUCCCCGCUGCUCCCUGGCUCCCAGGUGGGCCCUCGAGUCCCCACCUCCAUCCUCAGCCACAGACAGUGUCCCCCAAGCCUGGCUCUGGGCAGACAAGAACCUUGGCCUGUCCCUUGCAACUCACUUUCGCUGUGCUGUGCCAAGUGAAUUGAAUUCUGCCACUUCCUCUUUUUCCUGCCAGGCAUCGUCCAACAGAGGGAUAAGCGGAGACAGAGAGGAGUUCUCAGCCCCACAAAGCAGAGAUUCUGGGCAUUUUCAAUACACAGAGCUGUGGUGUAAGCAAGACUCUGCCAUAGAGAGAAAUCAUAAAAUGAGCAUAGGCUGUUCCUAAAGCACGCGGUGGGGAUGUCUGGGGUUCAGGGGAGGACCCUAGAGCCAGUUGUGUCUGUCCUCUUCUUCCCACCAGAGUCUGGGGCGGCCGAUGGGGGCAGGGAAAUGAGGUCUCCUUUGCAUCCUCUGGCCGCGCCCAGAAUCCCAAUCUGCCCCGUCCCUCCCCCCAGACAGCCAUUCUCAAGUUCAUGCCAGGCAAACGUCCCUGGGUGGCUGCCGGCCUCCCCGGGGGAGGGAUUCCAGCCGUGGGAAGAGCACAGCUCCAAGGACAUCAUGUUACUCCCACUGAAACAGUGUCAGGAAGCAGGAGGGAGGGGACCAGGGAACAGGGAACGUACAGGGAGGCCUGGGACUGUGCUGGGACAAUCUGGGCCCUGCAGACGCUCCCGAUGAUGAGUGUUCUCAAGUCUUUCCGGGACGGGGCCUCCUGGGCUGUCUGCAGCACCCCGGCCACCCGGUCAGUCUCUCCCAGCACUGCUGCUUCACCUCCUCUUGGCACCCCCCCUCCCCCAGGGGUCCCAGCCACGCUGUGACCUGGGAGGAGAGCCCUGUGGUGGGUGCUGGCCUUGGACAGCAGAGCCUGGGUUUGGGGAGAAGUUCUGGUUCAGAACUUGGAAUCUGGAUUUUCUGCUAAUCAGAGGCCUUUUCCUCUGGCUGCAUAAUAACACUGUUUUGGUUGCUAAGGAACCCUGUUUUAAUUGCACAUGGGCUUGAGUGGCUCUAGGAUGAUAAUUCUCCACGCAGAUGUCUGGAGAAUAGCACAGCGCUGAAGUGACAAUUGGGCCAUUCCUCACCAAGGGCAUGUCACACUGCACGAGAGUUUCCUUACCGGGUACCGAGGCACUGAUUUUUGAGAGCAAAAGCAGGAUUCCCUCCCCGGGUCUGACGCCUGGCCUGCAGCGCAGCAAGUGAUCAGCUUUGUUUUAUAGGCUGAUAGUUUGCAGGCUAUUAGUCUGACUGAACGGUUCUCCUAAUGAUCAGAUCAUUAUAACGGUGUAUUAGUUUGACACAAGGUAAUGAAAUAUUGUUACCUCUGACAGACUGGCUGUCUAUGUGGGCUGUAUCUCACCCUUUCUGCUGAAGAGAGGCCUCCUUGGUUUUCUUUUGUAGUAAAAAUGGCACCUGAUGGAAGAUCUCUUUGGCGAAAGGACUCGAGAAUCAUUUAAGAGUAAAGUUUAUUAUUGCGAAGGGUAACUGCUUUUUCUGUUUUGUUUUUCGUGAUGGAAAGGACAUUGUUGAGCUGAGUCUCUAAGGGAAGAGGACAGAAGCUGGCAAAUCAUUCCAGCGCUGCAAGUCCUCAUAAAAUCGAUGUGCUCUUUUACUUUAGACACAGAGGAGGGUCCUGGGUUGUUUGCCAGGCAAUUUCCCAGCACAUGGAGACCCUGGCACAAGGUGGGGUUCACAUCUGUUGGCGAGGAGGUCAGAUACAGGCCUGGGUGGGGUUGAAGUUGCCGAUUGGGGCGACACAUCAGUAGGCGCUUUGUUUUUCACGCCGAUGGGCUGGUUUUAGUGGGAAAACACGCGACCCGAAUAACAUCCAAGUAGUUGAAUGUUGGGCUUUGAAAAAUCUUUUAGAGGAGAGAGAAUUUGCGUUGUUUUCUUUUUCAAAAAGAGUCGCUUUCGCCUCCCUGUUCUGCGGGCAGGUGGUGUUCCAUCUGCGACAGCCAGGGUUCUUGAAGUGCAAGCGGCAGCUACGCUGCUGACCUUAAUCCGAAAAGGAGUUUAUUAAAAUGAUACUGAGCAGUAAAUAUAUCUAAAAACACCAUUUGAACAACCAGAGAUCCAGAAGAGCUGGCAUGAGGGCACCUCCAGGAGAGCUCAUUGGAGUCCAGUGGCUUCAGCCAUUCCCUGUGUUUUUAUUACUUUGAGAUUCAAAUGUCAGCGAUUCAAUUGUUCAAUUGCCCUAAGCUUCAGCUCCAGAAUUCUGAUGUUGGAGGGGCUUCUGUACCGUAACACCCACACUGCUUGUGGUGAUUUUAUAAAUGGGCCUUCAAGGGGGCUGGUGGAAGAUCUUGGGAUGACCUCCGAGUCAUUUUCGGGUGCCAAUGACAGCAGAGCACACCUUGACUGACCCACAAGCCCAGGGAAAAGAAAACAAUAGACUCUCUCCAUCCCACCUUUCUUAAGCACGUCGUUGGUCGAUUCUCUGACUUGAGUCUCUAGACAGUUUCUGGAGCCUAACUUUAAAACUGUUCCUUCCGAUACUGAACCCAAGGUCGCUCUGCUCGCCACACGACAAACGCAUAAAUUCAGAGACAGGUUGUUGGGACAAGGAAUAGUGACGUUAAUUGGAACGCAAGCAGACUGAGAAGCUGGCAGACUAGUGUCUCAAAAAACCAUCUUGCCUCAGUCCGAAUUCAGACUCCUUUUAUACAGAGGGGAUGGAGGGGAGAGGCCAGCGGUCACUCACUAACUGUCACGUGCUUGGGGAAGGGUCCACUGCAAUGCAGACCUGUGCUGAGCAGAACAAAGGUCAUUCACCACUGGUUACUUGCUUAUACUUCUUUCUAGAGCAGCACCUGCUAUCCCCAAGGCCACACCGUAGGUCAACUGCUCAGCCCAUUUCUAGCCUCCUUCUUUGUGCUGGCAGAGGUCAUUUC
rnacentral:lncRNA from 1 species